rnacentral:rRNA from 1 species
UACGUAGGGUGCGAGCGUUGUCCGGAAUUAUUGGGCGUAAAGGGCUCGUAGGCGGUCUGUCGCGUCGGUAGUGAAAACUCAGGGCUUAACCCUGAGCCUGCUUCCGAUACGGGCAGACUAGAGGUAUGCAGGGGAGAACGGAAUUCCUGGUGUAGCGGUGAAAUGCGCAGAUAUCAGGAGGAACACCGAUGGCGAAGGCAGCUCGCUGGGACGGUACUGACGCUGAGGCGCGAAAGCCAGGGGGAGCAAACGGGG